rnacentral:rRNA from 1 species
GAUGAACGCUGGCGGCGUGCCUAAUACAUGCAAGUCGAGCGAACAGACGAGGAGCUUGCUCCUCUGACGUUAGCGGCGGACGGGUGAGUAACACGUGGAUAACCUACCUAUAAGACUGGGAUAACUUCGGGAAACCGGAGCUAAUACCGGAUAAUAUAUUGAACCGCAUGGUUCAAUAGUGAAAGACGGUUUUGCUGUCACUUAUAGAUGGAUCCGCGCCGCAUUAGCUAGUUGGUAAGGUAACGGCUUACCAAGGCAACGAUGCGUAGCCGACGGGAGAGGGUGGUAGGCCACAUGGGAACGGAGCCAGGGUCCAGGCUCCUACGGGAGGCAGCAGUAGGGAAUCGUCCGCAAUGGGCGAAAGCCUGGCGGAGCAACGCCGCGUGAGUGAUGAAGGUCUUCGGAUCGUAAAACUCUGUUAUUAGGGAAGAACAAAUGUGUAAGUAACUAUGCACGUCUUGACGGUACCUAAUCAGAAAGCCACGGCUAACUACGUG